UACGUAGGGUGCAAGCGUUAAUCGGAAUUACUGGGCGUAAAGCGUGCGCAGGCGGUUGUGCAAGACAGAUGUGAAAUCCCCGGCUUAACCUGGGAACUGCAUUGUGACUGCACGGCUAGAGUACGGUAGAGGGGGAUGGAAUUCCGCGUGUAGCAGUGAAAUGCGUAGAUAUGCGGAGGAACACCGAUGGCGAAGGCAAUCCCUGGACCUGUACUGACGCUCAUGCACGAAGCGUGGAGCAACAGG
rnacentral:rRNA from 1 species